UACAGCCACAUCACGAUGAAACACCGGUUCCCGUACGACCACCGAAGUUAAGCAACGUUGGGCGUGGUGAAUACCAAGAUGGGCGACCGCUUGAUAAUACCAAGUGCAGU